AAUCAUCCGAGUGGGGGAAACAGCGCCCCUCUGUCUCUGUAUGUGUAGCCCGUGUAUCUGAUGCUGUCUGGACCAGAAGAGUAUGACAUGUUGCCGCCAAUCAAAUCAUAUCCAACGCAAAACGUAAUUGUCUGGAAAAACGUGUCAGUUUCUGGUCUGUUUGUGUUGAUUUCCUGCGUUAGCUAGCUUGCUAAAUCGGUCCUUUCAUAAGACAUGAAUGGAGAUUUGGACUGGUGGUUUUGACUUAAUUCUCGCUACAGGCAAAUUAUUAUGAUGGUGAUUCUGAUCUCACCAUAAAUGAAUAUAUUGUUCCAUUGGCCUGUGAUGAUUGAAGUUCAAUAUGUAGCUUAGCUGUAAAUAGCUAGCUAACAUAGCUGGUUCAUUGUUUCCCAUGCGAGUAAGUCAGGCUAGUAAGCAUUUUAGCUAGGUAGCCUAGGACAACAAAAACUAAAAGCGUACUGUAUGACAGAGCCAUAGACCGGUUUGCCAACAUGAAAGAAAGGAGGAUGGCAUUGGAGACUCCAAGUAAGGUACAGGCAGGGACGACUGGGGACUUCAGCAAGUAAUACACAGGGGGAGGAGCAACAUGAGUCUGUCAGAGGCGAUAGAGGCUUUGUUGGUCCACACAACGUAGAAGCAGGUCUCCCUUCCAGUGAUGUGGAGCUCACCUUGGACUUGGUGCCAGUAAGGAUGGCCUUCACGGAGUCAGUAUGUUUGUCAUGUUUGUGUAUGGUUCUCAUGACUUACGAUUGGGUGUUAAGGGACCACUUGUCACAUUGUCCAAGGUGGGUUUGUGUUAUGAUAAACAAUGCGUUUUCUGUCAAGAGAAAUAUGUUUUUAAAGCAUUGAAAAUGACCUACCAAAUGUCUCUUUGUGCAUCCUGGUGGAUGGACAUCCUGUGUCAGUGUGACCCGGUUGUGGAGACUACAGCAGAUCGAGCCUGUGGACGGACAGGCAGAGCAGGCAACAGAUGGCACACAGACAGCAGAGUUGGGGACAGAUAUGCAGGGACAGACUGGCAGAGACAGGGAGUCUCAGGACAAUGACCCAACACAUCUCCAUGCUGUGUAAGUGCUAUUUGACCAAGAAGGAGAGUGAUGGAUGCUGCAUCACAUGACCUGGCCUCCACAAUCACCCAACCUCAACCCAAUUGAGAUGGUUUGGGAUGGACAGCAGAGUGAAGGAAAAGCAGCCAACAAGUGCUCAGCAUAUGUGGGAACUCCUUCAAGACUGUUGGAAAAUAAUUCCUCAUAAAACUGGUUGAGAGAAUGUCAAGAUUGUGCAAACCUGUCAUCAAGGCAAAGGAUGGCUACUUUGAAGAAUCUAAAAUAUAUUUUGAUUUAACACUUUUUUGGUUACUAGAUGAUUCCAUAUGUGUUAUUUCAUAGUGUUGAUGUUUUCACUGUUUUUCUACAAUGUAGAAAAUAGUAAAAAUAAAGAAAAACCCUUGAAUGAGUAGGUGUGUCCACACUUUUGACUGGUACAGUACGUACGGUCACUGCUGGUACGACGUCGUCGAUGCACUUAUUAAUGAGUCUAUUGACUGAUGUGGUAAACUCCUCAAUGUUAUUGGACAGAUUUCAAUCUGUGAUAGCGAAACCGUCCUGAAUCUUAGCACCGUGAAUCUUCGUCACACCGUAUUUCGGACUGAUACUUUCUGUUUGAGUUUUUGCUUGUAAGUAGGAAGCAGGAGGAUAGAGUUAUGAACUUAUUUGCCAAAGGAAUGGAGAAGCAGUACCGUAUAACUACUUGGCUCCGACCCACUCAGAGCAACAACAAAAAACAAAUAUUGAUGAACAACGUAAUAGAACAGCCCAGCCCAAAUCAUAAUUGACUGAACUAUUAUUAUGAAUAGGCCUAAGAGUAAUUAUGUCCAAUGAAGCGUACCACUUCAUAGCAUGAAUGUCAAUGAAUGUCAUUUGAUGUUUAAUGUAGCCCGCCGGCCACCACUAUAAUCACAACCACUAGCAGUAGACUACAUCAUGAUGAUGUCAAAUCAAAUCAAGUAUUAUUUGUCACAUGCGCCGAAAUACAGUGAAAUACUUACUAGCCCUUAACCAAAAAUGCUUUCAGAAGUUAAGAAAAGUAAGUGUUAAGUAACAAAUAGAUAUGUAAAAUAAAAAAAUGAAUAAAUAAAUGAAUAAAUAAAUAAUUAAUCAGCAGCAGUAAAUUAACAACCGAGGCUACAUACAGGGGGUACCAGUACAGAGUCAAUGUGGAGGCUAUAUACAGGGGGUACCGGUACAGAGUCAAUGUGGAGACUAUAUACAGGGGGUACCGGUGCAGAGUCAGUGUGGAGACUAUAUACAGGGGGUACCGGUACAGAGUCAAUGUGGAGGCUAUAUACAGGGGGUAUCGGUACAGAGUCAAUGUGGAGUCUAUAUACAGGGGGUACCGGUACAGAGUCAAUGUGGAGGCUAUAUACAGGGGGGUACCGGUACAGAGUCAAUGUGGAGUCUAUAUACAGGGGGUACCGGUACAGAGUCAGUGUGGAGACUAUAUACAGGGGGUACCGGUACAGAGUCAAUGUGGAGGCUAUAUACAGGGGGUACCGGUACAGAGUCAAUGUGGAGUCUAUAUACAGGGGGUACCGGUACAGAGUCAAUGUGGAGGCUAUAUACAGGGGGGGGUACCGGUACAGAGUCAAUGUGGAGUUUAUAUACAGGGGGUACCGGUACAGAGUCAAUGUGGAGGCUAUAUACAGGGGAUACCGGUACAGAGUCAAUGUGGAGGCUAUAUACAGGGGGUACUGGUACAGAGUCAAUGUGGAGGCUAUAUACAGGGUGUACCGGUACAGAGUCAAUGUGGAGGCUAUAUACAAGGGGUACCAGUACAGAGUCAAUGUGGAGGUUAUAUACAGGGGGUACCGGUACAGAGUCAAUGUGGAGGCUAUAUACAGUGUGUUACGGUACAGAGUCAAUGUGGAGGCUAUAUACAGUGUGUUACGGUACAGAGUCAAUGUGGAGGCUAUAUACAGGGGUUACCGGUACAGAGUCAAUGUGGAGGCUAUAUACAGGGGGUACUGGUACAGAGUCAAUGUGGAGGCUAUAUACAGGGGGUACCGGUACAGAGUCAAUGUGGAGGCUAUAUACAGGGGGGUACCGGUACAGAGUCAAUGUGGAGUCUAUAUACAGGGGGUACCGGUACAGAGUCAGUGUGGAGACUAUAUACAGGGGGUACCGGUACAGAGUCAAUGUGGAGGCUAUAUACAGGGGGUACCGGUACAGAGUCAAUGUGGAGGCUAUAUACAGGGGGGGUACCGGUACAGAGUCAAUGUGGAGUUUAUAUACAGGGGGUACCGGUACAGAGUCAAUGUGGAGGCUAUAUACAGGGGAUACCGGUACAGAGUCAAUGUGGAGGCUAUAUACAGGGGGUACUGGUACAGAGUCAAUGUGGAGGCUAUAUACAGGGUGUACCGGUACAGAGUCAAUGUGGAGGCUAUAUACAAGGGGUACCAGUACAGAGUCAAUGUGGAGGUUAUAUACAGGGGGUACCGGUACAGAGUCAAUGUGGAGGCUAUAUACAGUGUGUUACGGUACAGAGUCAAUGUGGAGGCUAUAUACAGGGGUUACCGGUACAGAGUCAAUGUGGAGGCUAUAUACAGGGGGUACUGGUACAGAGUCAAUUUUGGAGGCUAUAUACAGGGGGGGGGUACCGGUACAGAGUCAAUGUGGACUCUAUAUACAGGGGGUACCGGUACAGAGUCAAUGUGGAGGCUAUAUACAGGGGGGGGUACCGGUACAGAGUCAAUGUGGAGGCUAUAUACAGGGUGUACCGGUACAGAGUCAAUGUGGAGGCUAUAUACAGGGGGUACCAGUACAGAGUCAAUGUGGAGGCUAUAUACAGGGGGUACCGGUACAGAGUCAAUGUGGAGGCUAUAUACAGUGUGUUACGGUACAGAGUCAAUGUGGAGGCUAUAUACAGGGUUUACCGGUACAGAGUCAAUGUGGAGGCUAUAUACAGGGGGUACCAGUACAGAGUCAAUGUGGAGGCUAUAUACAGGGGGUACCGGUACAGAGUCAAUGUGGAGUCUAUAUACAGGGGGUACCGGUACAGAGUCAAUGUGGAGGCUAUAUACAGGGGUUACCGGUACAGAGUCAAUGUGGAGGCUAUAUACAGGGGGUACUGGUACAGAGUCAAUGUGGAGGCUAUAUACAGGGGGUACCGGUACAGAGUCAAUGUGGAGGCUAUAUACAGGGGAUACCGGUACAGAGUCAAUGUGUGGGGGCACCGGUUAGUCGAGGUAAUAUGUACA
rnacentral:lncRNA from 1 species